rnacentral:lncRNA from 1 species
CAGCUUUCUGCCAGCCAGGCUGGUGGUUCCUGAAGAUGUUGGAGAUCGCUGCAGGAAAAGAGAAGGGGAGCUCUAAUAAAGGGUGCACCUUCCUCCGUGGCUGCUCCUCCCUCCAGCUGGGCUUUGCCUGCUGGUGGAUGCUUUAAGCCACCUGGGGAGGCGGCUUGUGCUAGGAGCCAUCCGGAGGGGGAAGGCGGGGAUGGUGAUGUCAGGGGCACAAAUACCCUGAGUUCGGUAAGUUGGCCGGGCGUGGGCGAAGGGAGAAAGAGAAAGAGGACUGAUGUGUGCUAUAUAUAUAUGUGAUCAUAGCGUUGGGAGCCCGACGAUCAUCUAGUCCAGCCCCCUCUGCGAUGCAGAAAUAUGCAGCUAGCGCAUACGGGGAUCGAACCUGCAACCUUGGCGUUCUCAGCAACACGCUCCAACCAGCUGAGAGAGAGAGAGGCGGGCAGAAAGGAGAUGAACGGCGCAGGGAAACGGCAGUGGAAUGCAGUGGGUGGGAGAGAAGAUAUAAUGGGUGUUCUAUAGUAUAAUGCUUAGGAAUGAAUUGUAGCUUUACUUGCGGAUAUUUAAUUAUACAUUGCAUGCCGAAAAAGAAAGAUAAACAGAAGGGAGGACCAAAAGAAGAAAAUGCACAUCUCACUGCAGGAUUCAACAUAGUAAUUCUUCCCCAGUAGUUGCAAUGGCAAAGUCCGCUAAACAUUUAUAAAGAAACCCUCAUUUAUUUACAGCACAAUCCUAAGCAGGUCUGGUCAGAAUUGAGUCCUGAAUUCAAGGUGAGUUACUCCCAGAAAAGUGAGGUUAAUAUUGCAGCUUUAAGGUACUACAAGGGAUUGAACCUUUGAUCUUAAUUUUAUUUGCUUACAGCUUUAUUGGUACUAUUUUAUUUUAUUGACUUAUUUUAUUCAUUAAAUUUAUAUAUUCUCUUACAAUAGUGCCAGCUGCUGCCUGCCUGCCUGCUAUUGUCCUCCAGCCUCAUUUUAUUCCAGUACUGGAUAAGCAGCUGCAAUAUCUCUCUAGUUUUGUUGUACAUUCUGAUUCCUUCCUACAGGUGUUUAAAACUACGAAGGGUAUAAUAUAGUGUUCUUGAGUGCUCAAAGCCCUUUGUGUACAAUGAUCUCAGUAACCCUUACAACCACCGUGUAAUAUAGGUCAAUAUUAUUCCCCUCAUAUUGUAGCUUGGGACAGGGUGGGACUGGGACUGAGAAUGAGAAAUAGCAAGCAGUGUAAAGGUAGCCUCUUUAAUAAUGUGCUUUAACUUCUGUAGUGGGCUGACCAUCAUGUUGGUUGUGUGAAUUAUAUGACCCUGCUGUUCCCAUUUUGCAGAUAAGGGCCUUAUUAAAUAUGGAGAAGUCAACAUUUGGAUCCAUCUUCAGAAUCUACUUUAUCAGUGAUGCCUUUGGCCCAGUCCUCUGUUUUGCAUGCCCUUACAUAAUGCAGCCUAAACACAUGGAUUUGAAGCAAUUGCUUAUUCCUUCCCUCUCUUUGUUCUUUCCCUGUGUUGAAUUAUAGACUGUAACCUUCUCAGGGCAGGGACCUGUUUUCUCGUACUGUGUUAAGUUCCAUGCACACUGAUGGCACUAUGCAAAUAAAUAAUAAAAAAACACGCAUGAGGGAAUCAACCUUUUUAUAAUAAAUUGAGUGAAGCAUACACACAAAAACACAUACACACACACAUUGCAUUUUACAAUAAAAUAAAAGCUCAGGAGUUGAAAUUACACUAGAGCCAUUUUUACCAUGUUCAUAUUGAUUGUGUUUCUUUUCUCAUUGUUACAUUUAACUUUUAUAAAAUUAACUCAGACUAACAUUUUUGUAUUGUCAUGUAGUCCAGACAUCUUAGUGCUCUCUCCCAUCAUUGCUUUUUUGUUGUUGUGGGGUGGGGAGGGGUGUCCAAAAACAUUAAAGGUUGAAAGCAAAUGGGAAGAAAACAGCAUAUUUCAUCAGUCACCCUACCUCAUCCAUUAGAAACGGUGCUAAUUAAAUACAAAAGACACACACACAGGAAAGCAGUAGAAAGGAUUUCAAGGGGGGGACCAAUAGUAAUAACUGUAAUAACCAAGGUACAUUAUAUAAGAUAGAGGAUACUAACGAAAAGAAAAAUAGAGAGGGGAAAAGGGGUGGGGAGAAGGAAGGAAGGAAGGAAGGAAGGAAGGAAGGAAGGCGAGAGAGAGAGAGAGAUUGUAUAUGUAGUGCAGAGGAAAGGUAUUUGAAAAUGGGUUGGGUGUGUGUGUUAUCGCCAACCCUUUCAUUCCAAUGACUUAUAAAAAGGACCCAUCGUUUUAAGAACUUGAUCUCUUGUUGGUUUCUGGCUUCUCGAGUAUGGCAUUUUAAUGCAUUUUACCGCUUCUCAUAAUUUCUCUGGCCAGUCUUUUCAUUGGGGUGGGGGGGUCACUUCAUCUUCCAGCAUUUAGCUAGACAAAUUCUGGCUUGUGUUUCUUAAAAUGAAUACUGCAAUAUACAUACCAAUUUUCUUGAAUGUCUGAGCAUUGUUUUGGUCUGGACCCCCAGCCACCUGCCCCAUUUCCCUUUCUUCCCCACACAGAACACAUUGUAUUAUUUAACAGUAUUUGUUUUUCUUUUUGGAAAGUCCAAUAAAAAACUAUUAAUAAUAAUAAUAAUAAUAAUAAAUCAAAAUUCCAAGAAUUCUGAAUUUUAUCCCUCUGAACAAAAUAGGUUAGCUUUCUAUAUAUGUGUGUGCUUUGAAAUUCAUGGUAGCUGCUAACAUAUCUAAAAUAAAGGUAUCUUCUAAUGAAAAUGAGUUACUAAGUAUAAAUAGCAUUAAAGAAAUUGUGGAAAGAAGUACAAUAUUAGCUUCCCAAAUUGCAAACCAGGGGUGUUUACUGGUGAAAGCAUUUGACAAAGAUGGGUAAUAAACUCCAUUUUAGGCCCCUAAACUCAUUGGGUUUGGCCAAACCUACCUUACCUGUUUGUUUUUCAGCAUUUGUAGGCUCUUCUAUAUCAAAAUGUUCUCAGGGCAGCUGAGUUAAUCAAAAAAAGUUAAAAGACAACAAUAGGAAAAUUAAUAGAAUACAAUAUUAAGCAGAAUUUAAAUUCCGCAUUAAGCUCAGAAACAAAAAGGGGUGUGACAAAAAUGAAAACAGCAAGAUUUGAAAGCCCUAGGAAAUUAAGGUUGGUGCCAAGGAAGCCUCUCUGUGGAGGGCAUUCCACAGCUGGGGUGCCACCACUGAAAAGACCCUUCGAUUCAUUUGACAUCUCUUCGCUGGUGGGGACACCUAAAGAAGAUCCUCCAGCUUUGAUCUCAGGGUCCAG